CUUGGAGGUUGCGGUUGUGGAGGAAUGCAUUGAAGCGUGUGGCUUUCUCAUGGCUUUCUUUUGCAAAAUAACUAGGAAUUAACAGACUUAUUUUCAGUAUACGAUUGUACAAAUCCCAGUUUUGAUGUCGAACUGAAAAUGUUUUGCUUCGCAGCGGAAUCAGGGGCUCUGACAUAUGAGGAGAAGAGGAUCAGCAUCUACCCAGAUUUGAGUGCCGAACUGCUGAAACAGAGGGGGAAAGAUGGCCAGCCACACGGAGGGUGAUUUUUACUAAGGAGGAGAAGGAGGCCAUGCUGACCGAGAUUCAUGCUGGCCAUUUCGGAGUGAAGAUCAUGAUUGCCAAAAUCAACCUACACUUCUUAUGAUGUGGAAUUGUCAAGGAGGUGGACAGCUGGGCAAGUUAAAUAACCUUUUGUUUAUCAAUCACAUUGUAUUAUAUCCGAAAUUAUGAUUUCAAUUAAUGUCAUAUCAGAGAGCACACAAUGUUUCAAUUUCUCGCGUUGUGCUUAAAGGUCAGUAUCCUGUCAAGUGUUGUUGUUUGUCUACUGCUAUUUUUGUAUAACAUACUUUCAGAUCACUUAAACCCCAACUGAUGUGGUGGAAGAUGUCGAACCAGAUCAAAACGCCUUCGAUGACCACCUUCAGCCACAGACUGGAAAUUUUGACCAGGUGGGACUGAACAUCGCCAAGGCGCAGGAGAAACAAAAUGACAGCUACCGGAGGAGUAUCAGGAAAGGGACCAAGUGUUUAUGCAUCUGGGAGAAUUACUUGGUUUGGAAGAAGGAUGAAAAGCGAGACCUGGGAAACUUUACAGCUUUUUUUCUCAUAGUUGGACGGUCAACCACCGAAAGCCCUGACACCCUACACUUCGGUGAAGCCCAAUAGACAAAGUAUGUUAAGCUUUGGUGGACAUUGAGAAAGCAAGAAAUGGUAGUUAUGCUGAGUUUAUAAAAAUGUACCUCUUCAAUAUACCUCUCCAAAUGACUUUAGGACCAUCGACGGUCCGAGCCCCCCAGGAGGUAUCCCAUCCACCAGAGCCAGUGAAUUCGGAUCAGUCUGAUUCUCCCAUUUAUAACACUGCACUAAUCCAUCAAAUUGUCUCACAGUAAAGUGUAACGUGUGUGUUUGCUUGUUUACGUCUCUGUCUCCUACCCUGUUCCCUGUUCUCCAGGACCCAGACGUGGAUCCACCUGAUGUCCUCUAUUACCAACCACCCUACAACUUUUCAUUACAUCAUCUACAGCUACUGUUAUUGUCAUGUUGUCAUUAUCUGUUAUCUAAGUUUUCUUUCUCUAUCAUACUGGGCACAUAAUAUGUGAGAUACACAGAUUAACUAAAAACACUAGCACUGCAAACAUUCAGAACAAAGACAGCAGCAUUGCCUGUCACGCCCUGAUCUGUUUCACCUGACUUGUGCUUGUCUCCACCCCCACCAGGUGUCUCCUAUUUCUCCCUAUUAUCCCCUGUGUAUUUAUACCUGUGUUUUCUGUUUGCCUGUUGCCAGUUCGUCUUGUCUCGUCAAGUUGUCCCAGCGUGUUUUCCGUGUGUUACCUUCGCCCUAGUUUUGUUUUGUAGUCUUCCCGGUUCCGACUUUACUGCCUACCCUGAUCAUGAACCUGCCUGCCAUUCUGUCCCUUGUUGGCUCUUCUAGGAUUACGAACCUCUGCUUGCCCUCGACCUGCCCUUUUGCCUGACCCUUUGUGAUAAUAAAUAUUCUGAGA
rnacentral:lncRNA from 1 species